GACGAGCGCUGGCGGCGUGCUUAACACAUGCAAGUCGAACGGAAAGGCCCUGCUUUUGUGGGGUGCUCGAGUGGCGAACGGGUGAGUAACACGUGAGUAACCUGCCCUUGACUUUGGGAUAACUUCAGGAAACUGGGGCUAAUACCGGAUAGGAGCUCCUGCUGCAUGGUGGGGGUUGGAAAGUUUCGGCGGUUGGGGAUGGACUCGCGGCUUAUCAGCUUGUUGGUGGGGUAGUGGCUUACCAAGGCUUUGACGGGUAGCCGGCCUGAGAGGGUGACCGGGCCACAUUGGGACUGGGAUACGGCCCAGCCCCCUCCGGGGGGCAGCAGGGGGGAAUAUUGCACAAGGGGCGGAAGCCUGAUGCGGCACCCCCGGGGGCGGGAUGCCGGCCUUCGGGUUGUAACCCGCUUUCGCCUGGGACGAAGCGGGGGUGACGGUAAUUGGUAAAGAAGCACCGGCUAACUACGU
rnacentral:rRNA from 1 species